CGCAGAGAUAUGCAGUAAUUAUGCACCAUAUUUUUCUUAUUGGAAUUUGAUCUUGAAAUUUUGGUUAUGUCUAUUUAUACAGGUCAAAAGUGGAAUAUUGAGACAAUUGACAAAUAAUAAAGACAUGGUAUUUAAGUCCCUUGCUCUCUAGACACGCUGUAAGAUACAUCCUAAAUCUAGCACCUUGAACGACCUCCAAAAUCUCUGAAGCCUAAACUUUAUCGUAUUGUCUAGAUUAUGGUAGGAAAAAAAUUAUCUACAUUGAGUGACUUUAAUCUUCUGUGCCUCACAACUGGAGGGAUU
rnacentral:lncRNA from 1 species